rnacentral:rRNA from 1 species
ACUCAAAUGAAUUGACGGGGACCCGCACAAGCGGUGGAACAUGUGGUUUAAUUCGACGGUAAACGAAGAACCUUACCAGGGCUUGAAAUUGUAGGAGUAUACCUGAUGAAAGUCGGGUGGACCGUUAAAUCGGAUCCUAUGACAGGUGCUGCAUGGUUGUCGUCAGCUCGUGCCGUGAGGUGUACCCUUAAGUGGGGUAACGAGCGCAACCCCUGUGUCGUGUUGUACUUUCACGACAGACUGCCUCGGUCAACGAGGAGGAAGGCGGGGAUGACGUCAAAUCAGCAUGGCCCUUACGUCCUGGGCUACACACGUGUUACAAUGGUUGGUACAAUGGGCAGCCAAGUCGCAAGACGGAGCUAAUCCCACCAAAGCCAAUCUCAGUUCGGAUCGAAGUCUGCAACUCGACUUCGUGAAGCUGGAAUCGCUAGUAAACGCCGGUCAGCUAUACGGCGUUGAAUACGUUCUCGGGUCUUGUACACACCGCCCGU